AGUGAACGCUGGCGGUAGGCCUAACACAUGCAAGUCGAACGGCAGCACAGUAAGAGCUUGCUCUUACGGGUGGCGAGUGGCGGACGGGUGAGGAAUACAUCGGAAUCUACUUUUUCGUGGGGGAUAACGUAGGGACACUUACGCUAAUACCGCAUACGACCUACGGGUGAAAGCAGGAGAUCUUCGGACCUUGCGCGAUUGAAUGAGCCGAUGUCGGAUUAGCUAGUUGGCGGGGUAAAGGCCCACCAAGGCGACGAUCCGUAGCUGGUCUGAGAGGAUGAUCAGCCACACUGGAACUGAGACACGGUCCAGACUCCUACGGGAGGCAGCAGUGGGGAAUAUUGGACAAUGGGCGCAAGCCUGAUCCAGCCAUACCGCGUGGGUGAAGAAGGCCUUCGGGUUGUAAAGCCCUUUUGUUGGGAAAGAAAAGCAGCAGGUUAAUACCCCGCUGUUCUGACGGUACCCAAAGAAUAAGCACCGGCUAACUUCGUG
rnacentral:rRNA from 1 species